CCUACGGGAGGCAGCAGUGAGGAAUAUUGGUCAAUGGACGAGAGUCUGAACCAGCCAAGUAGCGUGAAGGAUGACUGCCCUAUGGGUUGUAAACUUCUUUUAUAUGGGAAUAAAAUGUUCCACGUGUGGGAUUUUGUAUGUACCAUAUGAAUAAGGAUCGGCUAACUCCGUGCCAGCAGCCGCGGUAAUACGGAGGAUCCGAGCGUUAUCCGGAUUUAUUGGGUUUAAAGGGAGCGUAGGUGGAUUGUUAAGCCAGUUGUGAAAGUUUGCGGCUCAACCGUAAAAUUGCAGUUGAAACUGGCAGUCUUGAGUACAGUAGAGGUGGGCGGGAUUCGUGGUGUAGCGGUGAAAUGCUUAGAUAUCACGAAGAACUCCGAUUGCGGAGGCAGUUCACUGGACUGCAACUGACACUGAGGCUCGAAAGUGUGGGUAUCAAACAGGAUUAGAUACCCCAGUAGUC
rnacentral:rRNA from 1 species